UGGCGAAUGCCGGUGGAACUACAGCCUCCAACGCUCGUGGUCGCGGGUUCGAUUCCCGCCGGUCCCAAUACUGGGGGACCGUAGCUCAGUGGAUAGAGCACGAAAACGUUUCACCACCCCUUGUCGCCA
rnacentral:Y_RNA from 1 species